rnacentral:rRNA from 1 species
GCCAGACUCCUACGGGAGGCAGCAGUGAGGAAUAUUGGUCAAUGGGCGGGAGCCUGAACCAGCCAAGUCGCGUGAGGGAUGACGGCCCUAUGGGUUGUAAACCUCUUUUGCCGGGGAGCAGUGGUCCGGACGCGUCCGGACCGGGAGAGUACCCGGAGAAAAAGCAUCGGCUAACUCCGUGCCAGCAGCCGCGGUAAUACGGAGGAUGCGAGCGUUAUCCGGAUUUAUUGGGUUUAAAGGGUGCGUAGGCGGGCAUUUAAGCCGGCGGUCAAAUGUCGGGGCUCAACCCCGGCCUGCCGUCGGAACUGGGUGCCUUGAGUGGGCGAGAAGUAUGCGGAAUGCGUGGUGUAGCGGUGAAAUGCAUAGAUAUCACGCAGAACCCCGAUUGCGAAGGCAGCAUACCGGCGCCUGACUGACGCUGAGGCACGAAAGCGUGGGUAUCGAACAGGAUUAGAUACCCUUGUA